ACGUGACACCAUCAACUACAAAUUAACAAUAUGAACAUUCCAAAUAAAAUAGUCAGCGCUCAGCAGUCAGCAAAACGAGAAUACAAUUUUGGCUCAACUGCUCGUCAGAUUCCAAUAUCUUACUCAGUUCAAAACCCCCAAUUCGCCUUGGGUUCCUUAAAACAUUCGCUGCAAGUCGCAACUCGUACAUAAUUCACACCCAGCCUCAUCCGUGGGCUGGAAGCCGAUAAAAAGGGCCCAUGAAUGCUGUGCAUUCAAAUGGGUAAAAACUCGACCCAGAACAUUGUACUACAUAUAAUCCAAUAGUGAAUGAAUAUUUAAUGAAGAUAAUUUACAAAGCACUCUUCACAAUCCAUCUUCAACUUCCAUUUUCAAAACAUAUACAUUCGUGGCUUCCAUAUCCUACAAACAGUUCCCAAUAUUGCCCAUAAAUAUUCCCCCAUGAGCAAAGCAUCCAUCAUAAAUCCACAGGCAGUCAGUCCAUAUAUAUCACAAUCAUUUGUCCCAGACACCAAUUUAAUCAAGCAAUAUUGUAUCAAUUUCAAGCACUAACAUGAACCAUUCACCAAAUGUUGUAUCAUUCUAGUAACAAUAUAAUCUGUGUAGAAAUCAAGAAAUAAUAAGUGAAGUUCCAUAUCACUCAAACUGCUAAAAUUUUGGUGAUACCCCCUUACACCAAAAAUAUAUGUGCAUCAUUCUCGCAACUUGUGAUUGGAGUAUUAUUUUCAGUGUUACUACUGGAUCUGCCUACAAAAAGCAAAGGUAUAUGAACCCAUAGACAAUACUAAUGUAUGGAGCACAAGGCACACUUCAGCCUGACCUUUUAUACAAGCUACAGGCCACUGCAACAGUUGCAACUGCUCCAAUCACAGCAACAGCUGCAAGGACAUCGCUUUGCUCCAAUGAUGCUAUCCAG
rnacentral:misc_RNA from 1 species